rnacentral:lncRNA from 1 species
GGGCCUCCUCGUCUCCGCGGAGCCCCGUCAAAGCGCUCCCGCCCGGGCUCCCCGCGGAAGCGACGCCCGGACGCCAGGGCCUCGCGGGCCAGGGCGGCAAAAACCGCCCUCCGCCGGCGGAGCGCCCGACGCGGCGCGCGUUGGACCGGCCGCUCCCGCCCAGGAGGGACGAGGCCUGGCCUGGACAGCCCCGCGGGGCACGGGGCUCAGGGGGACCGCUUUGGAGGGGAUGGCCGCGCCCUCUCUACCGCUUGCCUCAGGUGCAUCGCUGUGCAACAGGCAGGCACUUCCCGCCACAUUCGCCUACUCCACGCUGAGGCGGCAUUGCCCCGCCUGACCCGGAAGUCUGCGGCCUCCCCAUUGGCUCAGGAAGAGCAGGAGUUGGGGGGCAAGCGAGUGGGCGAGAGCCUGAACCCCUGGACCCACCUCCAGGCUCACUCACCACCACAUAAUCCUCCAUCGUAGUGUCCAGCAGCUCAAGGGAACUGAAGAAUGUCACCAGGGAGGGGACAACACCCUGUGCCGCCAUCGGGAUGGGCAUGGUGAUGAGCUCCCAAUCUCAGGAAAGAGUGAGGAGAACUCCACCUGCCUCCAGCGCUCUCCUAGGACUUCCUGUCAUCUGACUGUCAUCACUGCUCUCCCUCUCCCCUCAGCUCUCGAGGAGGAGCCAGCACAAAUCUCCUCCCAUUCCUGUCAUCCCUUGGACGGUAUCACCCCACCGUGAGGCCUGCACCACGUCAUCUCCCUCCAUUUCCCAGAGGAGGAGACCGAGGCCACAGAGGGGCAGAGACUUGCUCAAGGACCCACUGAGGAGAGGCCACUCUCCGUCCCAGCCAGAGUCCCUGUCCCCACUGCCUUCACCCCUCGCCCUGCCCCACCACUGACCACGGUCCUGACCUCUGCACUCCCAGAGUGUGUCCCAACAAUAGCCAAACUGAGAUGUGGA